CCAGAAAAGAGAGAUUUCAACUCCCACCCCUAACUCCCAAAGCCAGAA
rnacentral:tRNA from 3 species